UACAUGCACAUCAUCCUAGCCUUGGGAGGUGAAGGCAGGGCGAUCAAGGGUACAAGCCCAUCUUUGACCAUAACUGAUUCAAGGCCAGCCUGAAUUACAAAAUCCUAACUGAAAUCACACCCAUCAAAAAAUGACAUCCAGUGAUGAGAACAGGGCAGAUGCAGUUCCAGAAACAACCAACAGAGGUCCCCAUAGAGCUGUUCUUCUCUGGAGAAAGGCAAACCAGUUUCAUUUUCAUCUUCCCAUUCAGACCUGGGUAGGAAGCAGGUGCCCAGCAGAGCUCCCUGGAGUUGCACUGAGCCUUUCCUUUCAACACCCCUUUCUCUGUGUGUUUCGUUUUUUUUUUCUUUGCUGCUCUGUGCUUCCAUUUCUUUACCUGCAGUUGUUUCAACACCUGGAAAGCCAGCAGCUCCUGGCGAAGGUCAUCUCCACACUUGACAAUGACUGAAAGGAGUCGCCAAUUGGGAAGAUGGCCAUACGGGGAACCUUCUCUGAUCCUCCUGUGAAGAAAAAAGUCACAGGAUGAUGCCAGGUAGCUCAAGCAAUGUCUCAGCUGCACCUUCAGGGCCUCAAGUACUGAGCAAGGACAGAAUAAGGAGAUAAAGGAGAGGGACAUAAAGCUGACAGCUGGUAACCAGACACAGGACAAAGAGGCAGAACGAAGAAGAUGGAGAUGAAGGACGAGGUGAUUGGGCCAUACCGGAUGUCCCCUGCUGCAAUGAACACAGGCUCCUUGCUCUCCUGGCUGGUGAUGCUGUCCACCGAGAACUGGGAGAUGUUGUCACAGCUGUUGGUGUGCACUUCAGGGAGCUGGGAAGAGCAGGUCAGAAAUGCUAAACACAGAUCUCCCUCUUGAUCUCUGCUCACUUGCCACUAACUAACUACCUAUGGCAUGGUGGCCUACCACUCCACUCCAGCCUUCUCCCAAAGCCACCAUGGUUCCAUAUCACUGAGGCCUUGAGCCAUAGAUCCCACAGCAGUGUUCUCAAAGUGUGAACUCAUAGAAUUCAUGGAAAAGCAUAGGAAGUGCAGAUUCUCAGUUCUGACCAUCAGCCCAAAUUAGAACUACUGGGAAUGAAAUCUAGAAGCUGCAUUUUUGUGAACUUUCUAGAAUAUUCCCAACACUCUCUAAGAAUGGUCUCAAACUCCUCCUUUCCCAGCCUCCAUGUCAGUGCAGGGACUACAGGUGGAUCACCAUACCCAGACAAUUUCUUCUGGCUAAAUCUCCACCUAAUCUCCUCACUCUUAUCUAUAAAAUAUUCUGCCAGGCCCCAAGAAGUCUCUGUCCUUCCUUUUACAAAGUACUCUCAAUUAUACCUGCCAUCUAAUACACAGUAACUCGUGUAUCUUCAUUUUUCUUCUUCCAGCCCCACAGUGCGGCUUGAGUUUAUUUUCAUAGCUAACAGGGCUGAGUGAGUGCACUGCUUGUCGGGGCCAUGCCAGCCUCUCUAGCCUCACUCACUCAUCACCUCACACUACGCAUCAGCACAUAUUAGUUUUUUUUCAUUCCUAUCAUGGCCAUGUUGCAUUUUCUCUUCCUCAGUCUGAAUGGUCUGAAUGUUCUUUGUUCUGCUAAUUAAACCAUGCUUCCAGCCUCAGCAGAAAUAUCACUUCCUCCAGGAAAUCUUUUGAUUCUGAUGCUGAGUGUGGAGUAAGCACUCUCUCCACCUUUAGGCACUUCCAGAAUGUCUCAUGCUCCCUGUUACAGCGCAGAUUACACCAGACUAGAACUGUCAGCUGUCUGGUCUGAUUCUGUUAGCACAUAAACUCUUACAAGUAUAAGCCAAGUCUCAUUCAUUAGCAUAUAGUACUCAGUACCCUGAAACUGGAGUUUCUGACAGUGGUGAGCUACUGCAGAGGUGCUGGGAAAGGAACACAGUUCUCUGUUAAGAGCAGCCAGUGCUCUUAACCCUGGGUCAUGUCUCCAGCCCUUUAUAUAUUUGACUAAAUAUAUGAAUGUGUGGCUUGUCAGUCUCUACUGUCCUCAAUCAACUUUAUAUAGCAGGUGUUCCUUGAAUAUUUUAUUAGUUUCCCCUAGGUCCUCCUUACAUUCAACCUGAACUCCUGCUGUAAGAGGAGCUUGAACCUAUUCCAACCAGCUACUCAGAGCUUUUCCUUCUCAUACCCCUUACUAUGUACAAUAUUCAUGCAAAUUUGUGCCUCGCUCUGUUAACAGGUGUGUUAGUUCACAUGUAUUAAAAGCUCCUAGAGAACAGGGGCUGUGCCCCUAGGAU
rnacentral:lncRNA from 1 species